ensembl:ncRNA ZK622.7 ncRNA
CUGAAAAAGUGGGCAGGGACACGUUCGAUACACAAAAAUAGAAGAAAAUGGGAUUCACAAAGUGGACGACGAAGAGCGGAAGGAGACGUCAUUCGCCUGGGAAUUCAAUUCGUUUUAUCAUUUUUGCGCAAUUCCC